UACGGGGGGGGCAAGCGUUGUUCGGAAUUACUGGGCGUAAAGGGCUCGUAGGCGGCCCGCUAAGUCCGACGUGAAAUCCCCAGGCUUAACCUGGGAAUUGCGUCGGAGACUGGCGGGCUUGAAUCCGGGAGAGGGAUGCGGAAUUCCAGGUGUAGCGGUGAAAUGCGUAGAUAUCUGGAGGAACACCGGUGGCGAAGGCGGCAUCCUGGACCGGCAUUGACGCUGAAUAGCGAAAGCCAGGGGAGCAAACGGG
rnacentral:rRNA from 1 species